rnacentral:rRNA from 1 species
ACGUAGACGCUAUUCCCUAAGAUUAACCCAUGCAUGUUUUUGACAUUUGAAAAAUGGACUGCUCAGUAAUACUCACUUUAUUUUAUGUAAAUUUUUAAUUAACUACGUUAAAGUGUAGAUAAGAUGUUUACAGUAAGAGUGAGACCUAUCAGCUAGUUGUUAAGGUAAUGGCUUAACAAGGCUGUGACGGGUAACGGUAUUACUUUGUAAUAUUCCGGAGAAGGAGCCUGAGAGACGGCUACUAAGUCUAAGGAUUACAGCAGGGGCGAAACUUGACCUAUGGAUUUUAUCUGAGGCAGUUAUGAGAAGUAAUAUUAUAUUGUUUCAUAUUUUAAAAGUAUAUGAGGUGAUUAAUUGGAGGGCAAAUCAAGUGCCAGCAGCCGCGGUAAUACUUGUUCCAAGAGUGUGUAUGAUGAUUGAUGCAGUUAAAAAGUCCGUAGUUUAUUUUUUUAAGAAGCAAUAUGAGGUGUACUGUAUAGUUGGGAGAAAGAUGAGAUGUGACGACCCUGACUGGACGAACAGAAGCGAAAGCUGUACACUUGUAUGUAUUUUUUGAACAAGGACGUAAGCUGGAGGAGCGAAGAUGAUUAGAUACCAUUGUAGUUCCAGCAGUAAACUAUGCCGACGAUGUGAUAUGAAAAUGUUAAUUUGUAUUACAUAAUAGAAAUUUGAGUUUUUUGGCUCUGGGGAUAGUAUGAUCGCAAGAUUGAAAAUUAAAGAAAUUGACGGAAGAAUACCACAAGGAGUGGAUUGUGCGGCUUAAUUUGACUCAACGCGAGGUAACUUACCAAUAUUUUAUUAUUUUGAGAGAACGGUUUUUUGUUUGAGAAUGAUAAUAGUGGUGCAUGGCCGUUUUCAAUGGAUGCUGUGAAGUUUUGAUUAAUUUCAACAAGACGUGAGACCCUUAUUUUUUUAUUAAAGACAGACACAAUCAGUGUAGGAAGGAAAGGAUUAAAACAGGUCCGUUAUGCCCUCUGACAUUUUGGGCUGCACGCGCAAUACAAUAGAUAUAUAAUCUUUAUGGGAUAAUAUUUUGUAAGAGAUAUUUGAACUUGGAAUUGCUAGUAAAUUUUAUUAAAUAAGUAGAAUUGAAUGUGUCCCUGUUCUU